rnacentral:rRNA from 1 species
GAUGAACGCUGGCGGCGUGCUUAACACAUGCAAGUCGAACGGAAAGGCCCAAGCUUGCUUGGGUACUCGAGUGGCGAACGGGUGAGUAACACGUGGGUGAUCUGCCCCGCACUUCGGGAUAAGCCUGGGAAACUGGGUCUAAUACCGGAUAGGACCACUUCUUGGAGGUUGUGGUGGAAAGUUUUUUCGGUGUGGGAUGAGCUCGCGGCCUAUCAGCUUGUUGGUGGGGUAAUGGCCUACCAAGGCGUCGACGGGUAGCCGGCCUGAGAGGGUGUACGGCCACAUUGGGACUGAGAUACGGACCAGACUCCUACGGGAGGCAGCAGUGGGGAAUAUUGCACAAUGGGCGCAAGCCUGAUGCAGCGACGCCGCGUGGGGGAUGACGGCCUUCGGGUUGUAAACUCCUUUCGCUAGGGACGAAGCGCAAGUGACGGUACCUAGAGAAGAAGCACCGGCUAACUACGUG